rnacentral:tRNA from 1 species
GCCUGGCUGGCUCAGUUGGUGGAGCAUGCAACUCUCGAUCUCAGGGGUUGUGGGUUCAAGCCCCAUGUUGGGUG